rnacentral:lncRNA from 1 species
GUGCUUUCUGGGGUCCUUCAGCAGCAGUGCAAUGAGGAGCAUGCACAGGAGAGAUUCUAUUUUCCUUGGAUGGCUUUCUUGAGCCUUGGAAAUCUGGCUCACCAGGAAUUCUAGGCUUCUGUUGUCCCUUGCUUCCUAUCUGAAAUAUUUGGCAACAUUUUCAGACAUCUUUGAUCAUCACAGUGGGGAGUAAAGCCAGCUGCAAUUAUAAAGAUGCACACACACAAAAGAGAAAGAGGAGCAAAAAGAGUGAAGAAAACAUGUCCAUUUAUCAGAAAAUAAAUAUACAAGUACAAUAGAAGAAAAGGGGGUAGAAAACAUUUUGAAGAUUUAGAAAGACCAAAAGCACAAUGAUGCCUUUCUUUUUACUCACAUUUGAUGACAUCCAUAGUGAGAAACAGCAGUUCCACUGUCCAACACCAGGAAAUGUUCUGACUGUUUCACCGCUCCAGCUAAUACUUACAGAGGUGUGGCCUAUUCCCACUUGUAUUGGGGGCUUUAGAAUCUGACUCCUUACAUUCCUAAGAUUAAAAGACAUCUUGUGCUGUUUUAUGUUCUGAGAAGGAUUGAUUACCACAAAGACAGAUCUAUAGAGAAUGUGAGUGGAAACUAUACGAGCUGCUAACGGGACAAGGCAUUUAAGAAUCAUCCGAGUUCUGCUCUUCUUGCUGGCUGGAGCUAAGAAUUCAAGAACAAACACCAGCAAAGAGAUUCAAUACAAAUAUCCAAUUUUGAGAUAAGGGAUGGAUAACCAUAGUGUGAGUUGAGCCACAGAAAUGUGGAUGAAUUCAAUAAAUAUUUGGAUGAUUGUUUAACAUUACUUCAUAAUUGAUGGGAAUAAAAAAGUAUAACAAAGAGAAGAAAUCAAGGCUGCAGCAUGACAAAAGGUUUAUAUUUUAACUUCAAGAAAUCACACAUACUCUGUUUUUUCCUCUACUGAAAGAUUAGACUAACAAUCCAAUUUACCUGGACAAAAUAAGCUUCUGGGAGAUUCUGAAAGUUUGUUAUCUUCCUUAUCCUUGCCUUUUUGUAUUUGAGAAUUAUAUCACCAUUCUCACCAUUCUAGGAUGUUUUCACUAAUAAUUUUUGAGAUUUAAUUUAUAAAUAUCAAGCUUCCUGGUUCUUGAAACCUACCCAUAGUUAACAACUGAUUCCUAGUUCUAGGGUUAACAACUGAUUCCUAGUUUCAGGGUUUUCCUGAAUAUUAUCUUUAUGCCAGCUUUAUAGCAUUUUGGAAGGCUCAUUUAUCCCACAUUAUGAUAUUCUCCUGCUUUCAAUUUCUCUGUGUCUUCUCGUUUCUCUUAAGGCUAAGCUGGACAUUGCAAACAGGAUAGUCUCUUCUAUCUUGCCCAGCCUUUUCUCCUAUCCCAUUUUUGCAUUCUCUCUAUUCUCUGAUCACAGAAUUGUUUUCAUUUCUGAAGGUACAACUAGUGUCACAUCUUAUGCACAUGCUGUUCCCUUUACUAGGAUUAUACUUUUCCCUUAAAUUAUCUACCCUUUGCUUGCUUUAUUCUGACUUAACUUCAGAUUAUGGCUCAAAUGUAUUUCCUCAUAGAAUUCUUCCUUGACACCUCAUAAUAAAUAAAGUUCACCAUAUUAAAUGCUUUCUUCUCUCCCUGUACUUGUUUCUUUUUAAAGAUAUUGUUGUUUAUUAACUACCUGUGUGAUUAUUUAAUAAUACCUUACUCAACAUUUCCUCAGCUCCCUGAGGUCAGAGAUUAUGUAUUUUGCUCUCCAUGGCCUUCCUAACAUCAAGCACAGUGACUAGUAAACAACUGGUUGUUACAGAUAUCAACAGUCACCUAUCUGGCACCCAUUUCUCACAUAUGCUGAUUGACAGAGCCCCUGUUUGAUUCAGGUGUGCAUGAUACCCAUGAACGACUCCGGGACUAUAUUUCUCAUUUCAACUCCUGAAGUAAUUUUUGCUUGAUUUAAACUGAUUGUUAUGAGCCAAUUCCUUUUGUAAAUGAUUGGCUUAGGCCAGGUAUGCAAAACGUUCUGUCUGAGAAGACUUGAAAAUCUACUUGGAAAUUUCUAGGAAAGCUUUCCUUGCUCUUAAAAUGUGAUGCAUAAAAAGAAACAGUACUGCUUCUGAAUCCUUCCUGAGUUCAUUAGGGGAGCUAAGUAGAGAUGACAUGGCCGGAAGAUGUAAAACAUUCAGGUGUCGAUUAACAUUAUUAAGCUACCAAAUUAGUCCAUUUUAAAGGUACAUUACCGUAAAAACUUUAUGUGACGGCCGGGCGCGGUGGCUCACGCCUGUAAUCCCAGAACUUUUGGAGGCCGAGGCAGGCGGAUCACGAGGUUAGGAGAUCCGGUCCAUCCUGGCUAACACGGUGAAACCCUGUCUCUACUAAAAACACAAAAAAGUAGCCGGGCUUGGUGACGGGCUCCUGUAGU